rnacentral:rRNA from 1 species
AGAGUUUGAUCCUGGCUCAGGAUGAACGCUGGCGGCGUGCCUAACACAUGCAAGUCGAACGGAACUAUUUUGGAAACUCCUUCGGGAGCGGAAUCUUUAGUUUAGUGGCGGACGGGUGAGUAACGCGUGAGCAAUCUGCCUUUAAGAGGGGGAUAACAGUCGGAAACGGCUGCUAAUACCGCAUAAAGCAAUGAAUUCGCAUGUUUUCAUUGCCAAAGGAGCAAUCCGCUUUUAGAUGAGCUCGCGUCUGAUUAGCUAGUUGGCGGGGUAACGGCCCACCAAGGCGACGAUCAGUAGCCGGACUGAGAGGUUGAACGGCCACAUUGGGACUGAGAUACGGCCCAGACUCCUACGGGAGGCAGCAGUGGGGAAUAUUGCACAAUGGGGGAAACCCUGAUGCAGCAACGCCGCGUGAAGGAUGACGGUUUUCGGAUUGUAAACUUCUUUUCUUAGUGACGAAGACAGUGACGGUAGCUAAGGAAUAAGCAUCGGCUAACUACGUGCCAGCAGCCGCGGUAAUACGUAGGAUGCAAGCGUUAUCCGGAUUUACUGGGUGUAAAGGGAGCGCAGGCGGGACUGCAAGUUGGAUGUGAAAUACCGUGGCUUAACCACGGAACUGCAUCCAAAACUGUAGUUCUUGAGUGAAGUAGAGGCAAGCGGAAUUCCGAGUGUAGCGGUGAAAUGCGUAGAUAUUCGGAGGAACACCAGUGGCGAAGGCGGCUUGCUGGGCUUUAACUGACGCUGAGGCUCGAAAGUGUGGGGAGCAAACAGGAUUAGAUACCCUGGUAGUCCACACUGUAAACGAUGAUAGCUAGGUGUGGGGGGUCUGACCCCUUCCGUGCCGGAGUUAACGCAAUAAGCUAUCCACCUGGGGAGUACGACCGCAAGGUUGAAACUCAAAGGAAUUGACGGGGGCC